rnacentral:rRNA from 1 species
UACGGGGGGGGCAAGCGUUGGUCGGAAUUACUGGGCGUAAAGGGCUCGUAGGCGGCCAACUAAGUCGAACGUGAAAUCCCUCAGCUUAACUGGGGAACUGCGUCCGAUACUGAUUGGCUUGAAUCCGGAAGAGGGAUGCGGAAUUCCAGGUGUAGCGGUGAAAUGCGUAGAUAUCUGGAGGAACACCGGUGGCGAAGGCGGCAUCCUGGGUCGGUAUUGACGCUGAGGAGCGAAAGCCAGGGGAGCAAACGGG